rnacentral:rRNA from 1 species
AGUGAACGCUGGCGGUAGGCCUAACACAUGCAAGUCGAACGGCAGCACAGUAAGAGCUUGCUCUUACGGGUGGCGAGUGGCGGACGGGUGAGGAAUAAAUCGGAAUCUACUUUUUCGUGGGGGAUAACGUAGGGAAACUUACGCUAAUACCGCAUACGACCUACGGGUGAAAGCAGGGGAUCUUCGGACCUUGCGCGAUUGAAUGAGCCGAUGUCGGAUUAGCUAGUUGGCGGGGUAAAGGCCCACCAAGGCGACGAUCCGUAGCUGGUCUGGGAGGAUGAUCAGCCACACUGGAACUGAGACACGGUCCAGACUCAUACGGGAGGCAGCAGUGGGGAAUAUUGGAAAAUGGGCGCAAGCCUGAUCCAGCCAUACCGCGUAGGUGAAGAGGGCCUUCGGGUUGUAAAGCCCUUUUGUUGGGAAAGAAAAGCAGCAGGGUAAUACCCCGCUGUUCUGACGGUACCCAAAGAAUAAGCGCCGGCUAACUUCGUG